UACGAAGGGGGCUAGCGUUGCUCGGAAUCACUGGGCGUAAAGCGCACGUAGGCGGUUCGUUAAGUCAGGGGUGAAAUCCUGGAGCUCAACUCCAGAACUGCCUUUGAUACUGGCGAUCUUGAGUUCGGGAGAGGUGAGUGGAACUGCGAGUGUAGAGGUGAAAUUCGUAGAUAUUCGCAAGAACACCAGUGGCGAAGGCGGCUCACUGGCCCGAUACUGACGCUGAGGUGCGAAAGCGUGGGGAGCAAACAGG
rnacentral:rRNA from 1 species